CAGUGGUGUCCCCAAGCUCCUCCAGUCACACAAAUGUAUGGGUCCUUUUUGUUAGGUAUGUCCUUGUAUAUGGCUGCAUGUUGUGUCUGUGGGAAUGUACAGGUAACUAUGUCACAGUAAUCAAAGGUGUAUGUAGCUACAUCAGUAUUAGAAGAAUUGUACCAGAAAGUGUAAACAUGAUUAUCUUUGGUUAUGGCCACUUGUUGGGCCCAGGCAAAAUGCAACAAUAUAAGAAAACACGGGACACAUAAUAAAUUCAUGUUUCAACAAGAUCAGCUUCUCCCGGAGCAGGCACUUUUUUGCAAUGUGAAGCGUGUAUCCAGGAACUUUUUCCAGCUAGUUUAACUGACGUUGCUGUAAUCAGGAGCACUUGAUAAGGACCAUCAAAUCUCGGUUCUAGGGUAUGUUUCCUGAGGAACUUCUUAACCAUAACCCAAUCACCUGGAAGCAGCUUGUGUGUACCUGUAUUCGACUCAGGAUCUGGAAUAGAAGAAAACACUUGGGC